rnacentral:rRNA from 1 species
CCUACGGGUGGCAGCAGUGAGGAAUAUUGGUCAAUGGACGAGAGUCUGAACCAGCCAAGUAGCGUGAAGGAUGACUGCCCUAUGGGUUGUAAACUUCUUUUAUAUGGGAAUAAAAUGUUCCACGUGUGGGAUUUUGUAUGUACAAUAUGAAUAAGGAUCGGCUAACUCCGUGCCAGCAGCCGCGGUAAUACGGAGGAUCCGAGCGUUAUCCGGAUUUAUUGGGUUUAAAGGGAGCGUAGGUGGAUUGUUAAGUCAGUUGUGAAAGUUUGCGGCUCAACCGUAAAAUUGCAGUUGAAACUGGCAGUCUUGAGUACAGUAGAGGUGGGCGGAAUUCGUGGUGUAGCGGUGAAAUGCUUAGAUAUCACGAAGAACUCCGAUUGCGAAGGCAGUUCACUGGACUGCAACUGACACUGAGGCUCGAAAGUGUGGGUAUCAAACAGGAUUAGAUACCCGAGUAGUC